AGCCAAGUGAUGUAAACGGGACA
rnacentral:siRNA from 1 species